rnacentral:rRNA from 1 species
GUGGGGAAUAUUGGACAAUGGGGGCAACCCUGAUCCAGCCAUGCCGCGUGAGUGAAGAAGGCCUUCGGGUUGUAAAGCUCUUUCGACGGGGACGAUGAUGACGGUACCCGUAUAAGAAGCCCCGGCUAACUUCGUGCCAGCAGCCGCGGUAAUACGAAGGGGGCUAGCGUUGUUCGGAAUUACUGGGCGUAAAGCGCGCGUAGGCGGUGAUCUUUGUCAGAGGUGAAAGCCCGGGGCUCAACUCCGGAAUUGCCUUUGAAACGGGAUCGCUAGAGUCCGAGAGAGGAUGGCGGAAUUCCUAGUGUAGAGGUGAAAUUCGUAGAUAUUAGGAAGAACACCGGUGGCGAAGGCGGCCAUCUGGCUCGGUACUGACGCUCAGGCGCGAAAGCGUGGGGAGCAAACAGGAUUAGAUACCCCGGUAGUCC